GAGUGAAGCCCGCCAAAGAAGUGUGGUCCCGGUGAGACACUUUCCAGGGCAUUCCGUGGCUCACCAGCUAGUAGGGGGCUGAAUUAACCCCUAGUGAGUUCAUCUCUAGGGCCUCACUAGUGUCAGGAAUGGGUAGGAAGCUCCACCGGGUCACAUGCAAGGUGCUUCUCUCACGUGUGCCCUCACUCCUGUUCCCCAUCACCUUCUCAGCAUCUGUCCUUAGGUCCUGGGGCCCCUCUCCAGCUCACCUGUUGAUUUGGAGACAAAUGACACCACCGGGACUCCGUUGCUUUUGCUCUCACACACAUGGCUUUAGCCCUAAGGCGAGAGCAACACGGUUGGACAGUUGGCUGGAAAGGAGAGUCCUGAGCACGUAUUUUCUUUCAUUGUCACCCCAAAGAGGAGCAGGCAGCCUCUUGCUUGGGAAUAGGAUUUGCUUUGGACUCAUGCUUUAGUUACCCUCAGGCUGCCAGGGAUGGCUAUCUAACCAAGAUUGCUUGACAAUUCUUUGCAGGCCUCGCAGAUGGCUUGGAGCUUUGCUGGGGAGGAGCGGAUUGGUGGCUGCCAUGCAUGCCUCCUCCUGUCCGCACCUUUACCCUGCUUACUCGCCUGUUCUAACCUACUUUCCAGCUCCUAACGGGCUGGUGAGUCAAGAAUCGGGUUACAACUGGAAGCUACUUGCAUGACUUGACCCGGGUCAUAGUUGAGGUUCAUUGGGAGAAAGGGCUUCAGUGAAUGUCUCAGGCCCCAGAAAACACUUCCCUGCAGUGUCCACAUAAAUAUUUCCCAUUCUUAAUGAGUUGGCAUUACCAAGCAGCCUCCUGGUUGGGGGACAGUCACACAUAGGGGAGAGUGUUAAGAGGUUUGGGAUGAGGCAACAAGUACCCCUAAAAAUUAAUACAUGGAGAACUUUGCUUGAGUCUCUUCCUUCCCAGUUUCAAAAGCACGGGUGGAAUAAAGGGGGGUAUACUGAGUGGAGGCUGUAGCAGAUUCUCUCAGGGCUCUGACCAUCGUGCAUAGUCACGGUACCAGUUCUUGCCUGUCUCAUCUCUGCUCUCUCAAGAAGCUGCUGUGAUGAGAAGUGGGAAAGCAAUGCAAUUAUGCCAAACAGUAUUGAGAAGGAUAAUUUAUUUCUCUUCCCUUUGUUUUGUUUAAACCAUGAAUCCCCAUUCUAGAAAAGGUAGGUCCCAGCACCCACAUCUUUUUCUUCUAUAGUUAUUUAAACAUUCAAUUUUUUCCUUCCGUUUCUUUUCUUGAAUUAAAAAGAACAAAGCCCA